AGUGAACGCUGGCGGUAGGCCUAACACAUGCCAGUCGAACGGCAGCACAGUAAGAGCUUGCUCUUACGGGUGGCGAGUGGCGGACGGGUGAGGAAUACAUCGGAAUCUACUUUUUCGUGGGGGAUAACGUAGGGAAACUUACGCUAAUACCGCAUACGACCUACGGGUGAAAGCAGGGGAUCUUCGGACCUUGCGCGAUUGAAUGAGCGGAUGUCGGGUUAGCUAGUUGGCGGGGUAAAGGCCCACCAAGGCGACGAUCCGUAGCUGGUCGGAGAGGAUGGUCAGCCACACUGGAACUGAGACACGGUCCAGACUCCUACGGGAGGCAGCAGUGGGGAAUAUUGGACAAUGGGCGCAAGCCUGAUCCAGCCAUACCGCGUGGGUGAAGAAGGCCUUCGGGUUGUAAAGCCCUUUUGUUGGGAAAGAAAAGCAGCAGGUUAAUACCCCGCUGUUCUGACGGUACCCAAAGAAUAAGCACCGGCUAACUUCGUG
rnacentral:rRNA from 1 species